UACAUGUGGGGCAAGCGUUGUUCGGAAUUACUGGGCAUAAAGGGUGCGUAGGCGGUUUGGUAAGUCGAGGGUGAAAUCCGGUGGCCCAACCAUCGAACUGCCCUUGAUACUGCUGAACUUGAGUGCGUGAGGGGAGACUGGAACGAGUGGUGUAGCGGUGAAAUGCGUAGAUAUCACUCGGAACGCCAACGGCGAAGGCAGGUCUCUGGUACGCAACUGACGCUGAGGCACGAAAGCGUGGGGAGCAAACAGG
rnacentral:rRNA from 1 species